AAUAAAUGUGGUAUAGGGAGGGGUAGAGGGAUGAUGGGAGCUGGCAGGCACUGUCAGGACGUCAUGCUCGGUCUUGCUUCCUAAUUGCUACCUCCUCCCACUUCUGCCUCUGCACCUCACCACCAAGCGCUAAUGAAUAAGUAUGGUUUCCAUGCCGGAGCCAGGCAGUGUCCUGAGCUCUUUGCAUGCAUUACUCUGCUUAACCCCCACACAGCCUGAACUAGAAGAUGAGGACACUAAGGCUUAUGGUGGUGGAGAGACUUGGCCAAGGUCGCCCAGCUUAUGAACAGCACAGCAGGAAUGCAGACUUCCUGUCCAGCAUUCUUUCUUCAACUCAUGGUUCCUGGUCAAUGAUAGAAAUGGACAGAACAGAGGGCAUCCAAGAGCUUCCUUAAGAGGAAGUCAAACUGUCACUGUUUGCUGAUGAUAAGAGUGUAUACCUAGAAAACCCUGAAGACUCAUCCAAAAAGCUCUUAGAACUGAUAAAUGAAUUCAGCAAAGUUUCAGGAUACAAAAUUAGUACAGACAAAUCAGUAGCUCUGCUAUACACCGAUAGUGACCAAGCUGAGAAUCAAAUCAAGAAUUUAACCCCUUUUACAAUAGCUGCGAAACAAAACAAAACAAAAAACAACUUAGGAAUAUACCUAACCAAGGACGUGAAAGACCUCUGCAAGGAAAACUGCAAAACAAUGCUAAAAGAAAUCAUAGAUGACACAAACAAAUGGAAACACAUUCCAUGCUCAUGGCUGGGUAGAAUCAAUAUUGUGAAAAUGACAUACUCCCAAAAACAAUGCACAAAUUCAAUGCAAUUCCCAUAAAAAUAACUUCAUCAUUCCUUAAAGAACUAAAAAAAAAUCCUAAAAUUCAUACGGAACCCAAAAAGAGCCCACAUAAUCAAAGCAAGACAAAGCAAAAAGAAUAAAUCUGGAGGCAUCACAUUACACAACUUCAAACUAUACUAUAAGGUCAUAGUCACCAAAACUACAUGGUACUAGUAUAAAAACAGGCACAUUUUAUAGAAUAGAAUAGAGUCUGUUCUAUAAAACAGAAUAGAGAACAGAAUAGAGAACACAGAAGUAAAGCCAAAUAUUUACAGCCAAUUGAUCUUUGACAAAGCAAACAAAAACAUAAAGUGGAGAGGGGAAAGGACACUGUAUUCAACAAAUGGUUCUGGGAUAAUUGGCUAGCCACAUGUAGAAGAAUGAAACUGGAUCCUCAUCUCUCACCUUCUACAAAAAUCAACUUGAGGUGGAUCAAACACUUAAAUAUAAGACCAGAAACCAUAAAGAUUCUAGAAGAUAACAUCAGAAAAACCCUUGUAGACAUUGGCUUAGGCAAAGACUUCAUGACCAAGAACCCAAAAGCAAAUGCAACAAAAGCAAAUAUAAAUAGAUGGGACUUAAACCAAAAAGCUUCUGCACAGCAAAAAAAUAAUCAGCAGAGUUAACAGACAACCUACAGAGAAAAUCUUCACAAUCUAUACCUCUGACAAAGGACUAAUAUCCAGAAUCUACAAAAAACUCAAAUAAAUCAGCAAGAAAAAACAAACGAUCCCAGCAAGAGGUGGGCAGAUCACGAGGUCAAGAGAUCGAGACCAUCCUAGCCAACAUGGUGAAAGCUUGUCUCUAGUAAAAAUACAAAAAUUAGCUGAGUGUGGUGGCACACGCCUGUAAUGCCAGCUACUCCGGAGGCUGAGGCAGGAGAAUUGCUAGAACUCAGGAGGUGGAGGUUGCAGUGAGCCAAGAUCGUGCCACUGCACUCCAGCCUGGUGACAGAGUGAGACUCUGUUUCAAAAAAAAAAAAAAAAAAAAAAAGGUGGGCUAAGGACAUGAAUAGACAAUUCUC